UUAUAAAUGAUCUUGACAUUCUUUUUACUUUACAUAAAAUAUUCCUUACAUUCUACUGUUGUUUUAUUGCCAUUUAUUUACAAGUAUUAUAAAUUUUAUGGGUAAAAUAUUUCUCUGGGAACGAAUUACGGUUUAUAACAUUGGACAUGAAACUAGCUUACAAAGA